rnacentral:lncRNA from 1 species
UGGUUCUGCCAUGGACAAGCUGAAGUCUCUCUGAGACCAGGGGACCCGCAUGGCCCAGCCACCCCACCCCACCAUCUCCCAGGCAUGUGAGAAAAUAUCACAUUCUCUGUGUUUUGGAGAUUUCUUCUAAAUGUAUUUUCCAACUAUCAUUUCAUAGCAAAUCAGCGAGAAAAAAGGUAUAAUAUUAGGCAGAAACCCAAUAUAAAAAGAAAAGCAGAGUUGUUGUAGAUUCAUCGAGGGUUGGCGACCUGGUUCCAAUGAGCCAUCUCCCUGUUCCGACAGGGGCUUCCUGGAGCUCCUGCAACCCCAGGCAUUAGUUCCGGUGCAGUUCUAGGAUCAGAUCAAUUCACUCGACAACAAGAGAAACAAAUGGAGAUUCCUACACAAAGACUUUCAAGCACAAAGAAAUCCUGCUGCCUGUAAAGCGGAGCUGCCUCAGCCCUUGAUGAACGACAGAAAAUACCACCUACUGCCAGACCUCAACGCCUCACAAAACUCUCACCCACCUACUGCUUUUAGCUCACAUUCCAGGAAUUCAGAUGAAGUGAAGUGCUCUCAUGGGGACCAGGCAUGGUUAUGCCAGUCCACUGCCCUGCAAGCCUCAAGGGAAGCCAACUGCCCUUCAGCAAGUCACACCUGCCUUGGUGG